rnacentral:miRNA from 14 species
GCACAUGGCCUUUUACUGCUCA